rnacentral:lncRNA from 1 species
UAAAGAAUAAGGCUAUAACAUAUUAAAAAAAUUACUUUAAUCGGACAUCAGGUUUAGGAAAUACAAGACAUUAAAAAUUACCCAUUUUUUGGGGUGGCGGUUUUUUGUGCCGGUGAGUGUAGUUUAAAUAGAUCUUUUGACACAGUUUGUUUAAAAUACUUCUAAUAUCUUUCAAAUUUACCAUACUAACCAGAUAGAAACAUCACAGAAUUUGUUUGGAUACAAAUAAAACAGAAUUGCAAAAUAAAUUGUGUUUCAAGUUUGAAACUGAAGGACUGAAAAGAAAUAUGGCGCUGGAAGUGUAGAUAACUGUAAGAAAUUAGGUGAACAUAUCAAGGAUAAAUAAAAAUGGCAAAGAUGAAGAAACAUGUAAUUGUGUUAGUGUUAAUUUUUUUGCCAUCUGCGGUAUUUAUUGAUUUUUCUCAGAGAAUAUUAUGACUGUUGUCAUGGCUAAUCCUAUUGUAUGCGCCAUUUCCAAAAUUAUUCACAA